AUGUGCUGAUCCUGGAGAACACACUCCACACUCUCAGCACUAACCGCUUGGGAGAAGGGACCCAUUAAUGUUUAAUUGUACCUUCUCUUGUGGCCCCGUUUUUUCCCUUUUAAUUAUGAAACAUUGGAGCCUACAGAAAGGUAGAAAAAAUGGACACCCACAUAACCACCACCUAAAUCCAAUUAAUUGUUAAUAUUUUGUCAAGUUUUCUUUAUGUAAUAUUUCAAUUUGAAAUAAAAGUAAAUUAUAGGCAUCAUGCUAAUUUGCCUGUGUAUACUUAAGCCUGCAUAUUCAAAAACUAAGGCCAUUUUCUUUCAUGACCAAAAUUCCCUUAUCCUUUCACACCAAGUUAUCAGUAAUUCCUUAAAAUUAUUCAACUCCCAAAUAUUUUCAAAUAUAAACAGUCAAGCCCAAUGUAACACAUUUCAGUCAACUAGUCCACCAUCUACACUGCGGUGGUCUCAUAAGAUUAAACUGGAACAUAAAUAGAAACUUGAUAAACAGUAUAUGGCCCUUGAUAUUGGCAUUGCAGCUCAACUAGAGGAAAUGACUGAUGCUCAUUAGUGGUUCUGGAACAUUUGAUUUACCUUAUAAAAAAUAAAUAAGUGAAAAUAUUGUGAUAUAUCACUGCACUGAUCACCCAAAUGAUGCAAAUCUUCUCUAGGCUCCGCAGGGAGGGGGCAUUGUGACAUAUUUCUGAACCGAUCAUCCAGGAGAUAUAAGUAUUCUCCAGGAUUUGACAAAAGAGCUUCGGAAGGUGUUGGGAGAGACUCAGCCGGAAUUUCACGGACGGACAAGGGCACAGAGAGGACAGCGGUCUCCGUUGCACGUCAGCCUGGGUGCGCAAUGAGCGCAGGUCUAGCCAGGAGGCCGGCAAAGAGAGCUAGAGGUCUGCGUUCCGCCGCCAGGCU
rnacentral:lncRNA from 1 species